rnacentral:rRNA from 1 species
UACGUAGGGUGCGAGCGUUAAUCGGAAUUACUGGGCGUAAAGUGUGCGCAGGCGGCCGCGCAAGUCGAGUGUGAAAACCCCGGGCUUAACUUGGGAAUUGCGCUCGAAACUACGUGGCUGGAGUGUGGCAGAGGAAGGUGGAAUUCCAGGUGUAGCGGUGAAAUGCGUAGAGAUCUGGAGGAACACCGAUGGCGAAGGCAGCCUUCUGGGCCAACACUGACGCUCAUGCACGAAAGCGUGGGGAGCAAACAGG